ACCAAUUCCGGGGAGAUUGCUUUGUUUUCCCCUGGUUUAAUGGCUCGGGCGCAAUAUUAAACUUGAUUUAUGUGGUCAUCCUGAUCAAUGGAUUUUUGCUCCUGUUCCAUUUGAUCCUGGAAACGCUACAUACAUUG